GGAGGGGGAAAUGCAUAACGUGGAGGGAGAGUCCUGUCCUGUCAGCAAAGGGGAAACGCUGUCCUUCCUUGGUCUUAUAUUGAUGGUUAUCAGUGACAUAGUUACUACUACAAUCAUUUCAUAAAGGCCAUUGACACGCUCAAACCUCAAUUUGGACCAGCCACGUUUCAAGCACUCAAUAGCCGCAUGUGCCUAGCGGAUACCACGUUGGACGGCACAGCUCUAGUAAAACAUCUACCCCUCUAACUCCAUCACCACAACUGCUUCCUGGAGAAUCCAACCCGUGGCCCUCCCCUUCGUCCUCCACCCCACCAGCGUGGGAGGAAUUUGGAAAUCAAAGUCAAGCACGUUAAGAAAGAGCCAAGCCACAGCUGGACAGAGGAAAACCCAUCUACACCCAAGUAGGGUCUGGGUCGGCAGGUUUUGCAAGCCCACAAAGAAGCUGGGGACGAGGCUGUUUAUCUUGUGGGAUGACCAACAUGCCCCCAAACUGGCGCUAUAAAGAGAUCUUAGCCUGCAAAAUCUCGACCAACAGUGUGUGAUGCUGUGCUGCUUGAGGAUGCUUCCUG
rnacentral:lncRNA from 1 species